rnacentral:lncRNA from 1 species
CUUGGGAGACUCACCAUCUACUGGGACCAGACAGUGUUCUAGGCACUAGCAAAAUGCCCAGCAGAGAAGGUCUCCUUCGUAAAGAGGCACAGCAGCUGGGGGAGGGCAGCAGGGCAGGGGACUGACUCUCUUCCGGGACCUGCAUGCGGCUAUCCUCGACCCCAGCGGUGAUCCCAGCCCAUGCGCAGCUACUUUGGGGAAGGGAAGCCAUGUCUGAACUCCCAGGCCGCUCUCAGCCCCUUGGCCAAGGUCUUGGAGUAUGGUGAGUAUUAUUCUUGCCACAGGAGCAUCUUUACAGUGGCUUGUGGGGUCAUCUGAUAAAUAUCUGUCUCUCCACUGGACUCUUAAGCUCCAUGAUGCUCAUGAGCUCUGCAUGAGACAUGAGAACCAUGUCUGUUUCUGAUCACUGUGGUCUUCCCAAGAGCAGGUCACAGUAUCUGGCCUACAGAAGGCACUCAACCUUUUUAUUGAAUGACUGAACAAAAGUAACACAAGCUCACCCUUUUCCUCCUCCAAACUUCUUGCCCUGUGCUCAUUAUCUGGGUGAACGCCAUCAGUGCCCUUCCAGUAUCUUAGCAGGAAACCCAGCUCUUCUCUUAAACUCCUUUCUCUUCUCUCUGCACAUCCAGCGGGGUUGUCAAAUCACUUUACACUACAGGAGAAAUUCCUCUGCCCUCUCUAGGUCUUUAAGUCAUUCCCUUACCUUCAGUGCCCUUUCCCUCCUUACCUUGCCUGAUGAUGUCUAUUCUUCCUUUAAGAUACACUGUAUCUUUUCUAAGAAACUAUCCAGCUCUCUAAGUCGAAUUUAACCUUGUUCACUGUCCCAUAGGCUGUAUCUCCAGAGAGCCCUUUCCUUGGCUGAAUAUCGGAGUUGUCUAUGGAGUUUUCUGUCCUACCAUCCCCCCAACACACAAACAGACACAGACACACACAGAGACACACACACACACACACAGGGUGUGACGUGUUGGAGAGCAGGAAGCCUACCUUGUUCAUCUCUGCAUGCCCCUCAGCCCUGAGAACAGUGCUCUGUAUACAGUAAGUGUUCAAUAAACUCUGAAUAAGAUCAAACCAAAUGAUGCUCAAGUUAAAAAGGCCCACUUGGCUUAUUAGACUUUUAGAGACGCUUUCCAGAAAGAGCUCCACUGGGCAGGCAAAGUUGAGAGAGCCUCUUUCUUCCCCACCGCCUCCCUGUAGCCUGCCAACCUUCAGACUGCAUUAUUCCCACGCCGGAACCCAGGCAACAUCAUCAGACAAGUCAGAUGUUUCCCA